GCUGGGCAUGGUGGCUCAUGCCUUUAAUCCCAGCGCUUUGGGAGGCUGAGGCAGGCGGAUCACCUGAAGUCAGGAGUUCGAGACCAGCCUGGCCAACAUGGUGAAACCCAUCUCUA
rnacentral:SRP_RNA from 1 species